rnacentral:rRNA from 1 species
UGGCGGCAUGGCUAAGCAUGCAGUCGGACGGUUAAGCCCCUUCGGGGGUGUAUAAGUGGCGAACGGGCGAGGAAUACGUUUCCACGUACCCCGAGGUCGAGGAUAGCCCAGGGUAAACUUGGAGUAAUACUCGAUGUGGUCCUUCGGGAUCAAAGGCUUCGGUCGCCUUGGGAGCGGGGAACGGCCUAUCAGGUUGUUGGUGAGGUAACGGCUCACCAAGCCGAAGACGGGUAGCGGGUGUGAGAGCACGACCCGCCGCAUCGGGACUGAGACACUGCCCGGACUCCUACGGGAGGCUGCAGCAACGAAUCUUCCGCAAUGCGCGAAAGCGUGACGGAGCAAUGCCGCGUGCAGGAUGAAGCCCUUCGGGGUGUAAACUGCUGUCAGGGUUCAGCAACACAAUGAGCAGACCCAAAGGAAGGGCCGGCUAACUUCGUGCCAGCAGCCGCGGUAAUACGAAGGGCCCGAGCGUUGCGCGGAAUCAUUGGGCUUAAAGCGUACGUAGGCGGACGAGCAGGCACCUUGUGAAAUCCCUCGGCUCAACCGAGGAAUUGCUUGGUGAACCGCUCGUCUUGAGGCAAGUAGGGGCUGUCGGAACGAUAGGUGGAGCGGUGAAAUGCGUUGAUAUCUAUCGGAACGCCAAAGGUGAAGACAGGCAGCUGGGCUUGUUCUGACGCUGAGGUACGAAAGCGUGGGGAGCGAACGGGAUUAGAUACCCCGGUAGUCCACGCCGUAAACGAUGUGCACUANAUCGAGGAGGUUCUGACGCCAUUCUCGGUCGAAGCAAAAGUGUUAAGUGCACCGCCUGGGGAGUACGGUCGCAAGGCUAAAACUCAAAGGAAUUGACGGGGGCUCACACAAGCGGUGGAGCAUGUGGCUUAAUUCGAAGCAACGCGAANAACCUUAUCCUGGGUUUGACAUGCACGGAUUAACUUCCUGAAAGGGAA